rnacentral:rRNA from 1 species
UACGUAGGGGGCAAGCGUUAUCCGGAUUUACUGGGUGUAAAGGGAGCGUAGGCGGGAAGGCAAGUCAGAUGUGAAAUCUCCGGGCUCAACCCGGAAAUUGCAUUUGAAACUGUUUUUCUAGAGUAUUGGAGAGGCAAGCGGAAUUCCUAGUGUAGCGGUGAAAUGCGUAGAUAUUAGGAGGAACACCAGUGGCGAAGGCGGCUUGCUGGACGACAACUGACGCUGAGGCGCGAAAGCGUGGGGAGCAAAC